rnacentral:lncRNA from 1 species
UCUCUUCCCACACAAGGCAAAUGAUUCUUGGACCAAGGAAAAUUCUUCCUUCCAUCAUGACAGGCUCAUCAUUCUAUUGUCCUUUCAAAACCUUUUCUAUGUGGGUUACAAGCCACUAGCCCACCUCUUAGAACCCCUCAUUUCCUUUAAGACAUUUGCCCUGCAUUUCACUCCAUCCUUGACUACCUUCCCCUUUUUCUUCCGACUCUCCUCCCAGCCCCCUUUCUUGUUUGCUUAUACCCAACCCUAUGAAUAGCAAUGAUGGCUGCUGCCCUCACUAGAUCCCUAAAAGUCUGGGUGCAAGAUACCUCUUUUGGUGCUCCAAUUUUGCCUUACAAUGGUCUCUUCUUCCUCUGCUCCUCUGCCUACAUGUGUCUACCUCACAAUUUUCUUUUAUUUUUCUGAUUAAUAUAAGAAGACAGGAGUAGGCUUCGGCUUACUUACUGCUGAAAAAGGAGGACUCUGCAUAUUUCCAAAUGAAGAAUGUAGUUUUUACCUAAAUCAAUCUGGCCUGGUAUAUGACAACAUACAAAAACUCAAGGAUAGAGCCCAAAACUCGCCAACCAGGCAAAUAAUUAUGCUGAACCCCCUUGGGCACUCUCUAAUUGGAUGUCCUGGCUCCUCCUAAUUCUUAGUCGCUUAAUACCUGUUUUUCUCCUUCUCUUAUUCUGACCUUGUG